UGGGGGAUAUUGCGCAAUGGGCGAAAGCCUGACGCAGCGACGCCGCGUGGGUGAUGAAGGCCUUCGGGUCGUAAAGCCCUGUCGAGGGGGACGAAACGGCUCCGACCUAACACGUCGGGGCUCUGACUGUACCCCUAAAGGAAGCACCGGCUAACUCCGUGCCAGCAGCCGCGGUAAUACGGAGGGUGCGAGCGUUGUUCGGAAUCACUGGGCGUAAAGCGCGUGUAGGCGGUCUGCUAAGUCUGUGGUAAAAGCUCGGGGCUCAACCCCGAGAGCGUCAUGGAAACUACCGAAGUUGAGCAGUAGAGAGGCAUCUGGAAUGCCGCAUGUAGGAGUAAAAUCCGUAGAUAUGCGGUAGAACGCCAAAAGCGUAGGCAGGAUGCUAGCUACUUGCUGACACUGAGAGACGAAAGCGUGGGGAGCGAAGCGGAUUAGAUACCCUCGUAGUCCCUGAGCGGGCUGGCAAGGCGCAU
rnacentral:rRNA from 1 species